rnacentral:piRNA from 1 species
UGGAUAACAUAUCAAGGUA